rnacentral:rRNA from 1 species
UAGUAGGUGAGGUAACGGCUCACCUAGGCGACGAUACAUAGCCGACCUGAGAGGGUGAUCGGCCACACUGGGACUGAGACACGGCCCAGACUCCUACGGGAGGCAGCAGUAGGGAAUCUUCGGCAAUGGACGAAAGUCUGACCGAGCAACGCCGCGUGAGUGAAGAAGGUUUUCGGAUCGUAAAGCUCUGUUGUAAGAGAAGAACGGGUGUGAGAGUGGAAAGUUCACACUGUGACGGUAUCUUACCAGAAAGGGACGGCUAACUACGUGCCAGCAGCCGCGGUAAUACGUAGGUCCCGAGCGUUGUCCGGAUUUAUUGGGCGUAAAGCGAGCGCAGGCGGUUAGAUAAGUCUGAAGUUAAAGGCUGUGGCUUAACCAUAGUACGCUUUGGAAACUGUUUAACUUGAGUGCAGAAGGGGAGAGUGGAAUUCCAUGUGUAGCGGUGAAAUGCGUAGAUAUAUGGAGGAACACCGGUGGCGAAAGCGGCUCUCUGGUCUGUAACUGGCGCUGAGGCUCGAAAGCGUGGGGAGCGAACAGGAUUAGAUACCCUGGUAGUCCACGCCGUAAACGAUGAGUGCUAGGUGUUAGGCCCUUUCCGGGGCUUAGUGCCGUAGCUAACGCAUUAAGCACUCCGCCUGGGGAGUACGACCGCAAGGUUGAAACUCAAAGGAAUUGACGGGGGCCCGCACAAGCGGUGGAGCAUGUGGUUUAAUUCGAAGCAACGCGAAGAACCUUACCAGGUCUUGACAUCCCGAUGCCCGCUCUAGAGAUAGAGUUUUACUUCGGUACAUCGGUGACAGGUGGUGCAUGGUUGUCGUCAGCUCGUGUCGUGAGAUGUUGGGUUAAGUCCCGCAACGAGCGCAACCCUUAUUGUUAGUUGCCAUCAUUCAGUUGGGCACUCUAGCGAGACUGCCGGUAAUAAACCGGAGGAAGGUGGGGAUGACGUCAAAUCAUCAUGCCCCUUAUGACCUGGGCUACACACGUGCUACAAUGGCUGGUACAACGAGUCGCAAGUCGGUGACGGCAAGCUAAUCUCUUAAAGCCAGUCUCAGUUCGGAUUGUAGGCUGCAACUCGCCUACAUGAAGUCGGAAUCGCUAGUAAUCGCGGAUCAGCACGCCGCGGUGAAUACGUUCCCGGGCCUUGUACACACCGCCCGUCACACCACGAGAGUUUGUAACACCCGAAGUCGGUGAGGUAACCU